GACGAACGCUGGCGGCAUGCCUAACACAUGCAAGUCGAACGAGACCUUCGGGUCUUUUGGCGCACGUGUGCGUAACGCGUGGGAACCUGCCCUUAGGUUCGGAAUAACUCCCCGAAAGGGGUGCUAAUACCGGAUAAUGUCUUCGGACCAAAGAUUUAUCGCCUUUGGAUGGGCCCGCGUUGGAUUCGCUAGUUGGUAGGGUAAAAGCCUACCAAGGCGACGAUCCAUAGCUGGUCUGAGAGGAUGAUCAGCCACACUGGGACUGAGACACGGCCCAGACUCCUACGGGAGGCAGCAGUGGGGAAUAUUGGACAAGGGGCGAAAGCCUGAUCAAGCAAUGCCGCGUGAGUGAUGAAGGCCUUAGGGUUGUAAAGCUCUUUUACCCGGGAUGAUAAUGACAGUACCGGGAGAAUAAGCGCCGGCUAACUCCGUG
rnacentral:rRNA from 1 species